UCACAUUGAUUGGUGGCGUCAAACAUAUGCUUGGUGGUACAUGAAAGAGAGGUGUGAAUCUCAAAGUCUAGUGUGUAUUAUAGAGUGGCUUCAUGUGAAAAAUUCUAAUUCCAUUUUGUAGCAUACUAUACUGUAUCCAGAUAGAGAUGUUUACGUGAUGGAUGCCAUUGUAGAUUUUGGGGAGCACGGCCAAUCGUUCCAGAGGCGUAACAAAACAUCAGCAUCUUGGUGGUGACGAAGAGGUGGUCCCUGACCUGUCCCGAGCGGAGGAUUUGGUGUAUGGUGGCUGAAGUCUUUGGGGGACCCGCAGCACUAGAGGGAGGGUUUGCUGUGGGGAUUAGGAAUCCGUAGAGGGCCAAAAUAUGAAAACCAAAACAUCAGG
rnacentral:lncRNA from 1 species